GCAGCUCUCCUGGACCCAAGACCCCCACAAGUAGACUUUCAUAGUCUUGGAUAAAGAAUUGGUUGUUGGAGACUUCAUCCAUGGAGAUGCCCAUGUUGAAGCCAUGGUUGGUGAUGUGAAUAUAUACAUGAAUGACUUGGAAGAUUCCCAAAUGGAAGAGAUUGAAAUAAUGAUAGCUGAGCCCAAAAGGUACAUGCCUUUCAUUUUCUUCUUAUGAUAGUGC